CGCUAAGAAGCUAAACUGGUCCUCAGCGUUAGCCUUUUAAGCUAAAGAAUGGUGAUUACCGCCCACCCUCAGCGA
rnacentral:tRNA from 1 species